rnacentral:lncRNA from 10 species
AUAAGAUAAGGACAGGGUCGGGCACGGUGGCUUAUGCCUGUAAUCCCAGCACUUUGGGAGGCGUGAGCCACUGUGCCCGGCCUAUUCUGACACCAUUUUUAAAAGAAAGUUAAGUUUGUCCCUUCCCAAGCUCCUUCUGUAAAAGGAAAGGCAGAAAAAAGAGCUGGCAUUUAGCACAGCCUGGGCAGAGAGGAGGAAGACUGAGGGAAGGGGGUGGGGCGGCACUGAAAGACAGAAGCGGGAGGAGACCUAGGAACAGAGAGAGGAGGCCCAGGGGCAAAGAGCGGGGUGAGCGAAAGGCUUCAGAAUAACUAAAUAUUCUCUUUAUAGAUUUUUACUUAUAAACAUAUUCUUAGAAAGGUAUUGAUGAAAAAAUAUAUUUUUAACAUAGUCUUCAUUACAUGACCAAAUAGGAAGAAUUCAUAGGGCUGUAAUUUUUAUGAAUAAGAUUUUAUUUAUGCUGUUUCUAUUCAUAGAUGUUUUUCAUACUCAAGGGAACAGGUUUAGAAAUACAUCCUUAUGUCCCUGGCACCUCCCUUCACACAGUCUCUGGCUGCAGAGACAAUCUAAAUGCUCGCUGUGCAAGUUGGCUUUUGGAGAGUUGGGUGGGGCUGAGGAUCAGGCCCUCAUUUGUAUCUCAUCUGCAUAACCCCCUUCAGGACAGGAGGCAGGUGGGCCUGGUCUUCCCACCAGCUCCUUGAGAAGCUAUGACCUCUCCCCACACUCAAUAAACCCUCCCUGGGCUGGAAACAUCCCAAUUUAGGCUGGAUCAAAGCCACCCUUAUUCCCCUGAAAGAUACAAGCACACACAAUCGAACUUGUAUACACACUCGGUACACACAGGCACAAACAGGAGCGCUCACAUACACCUGAGUGCAUAUAGGGACACAUAUGCUCACAUGCUCCAUACACUUGGGCUCGAAUAUGUGCACGUGUGACACAUUCAGUUAACUCAUUCAUCAUUCCACAAAUAUAUCCUCAUCAAGCACUGCUGUGUAGUGGUUCACAGCAAGGACUCUGUAGUCAGUGGCCUGGGUUCAAAUCCCAGCUCCGCUACUUACACAGUGGUGUGAUCUUGAAUAUGAAAAUAAAAUGUAUUGUUAAAAUUAGGCCAGGCGCGGUGGCUCACACCUGUAAUCUCAGCACUUUGGGAGGCCAAAGCAGGUGGAUCACCUGAGGUCAGGAGUUCAAGAUCAGCCUGGCCCACAUGGUGAAACCCCAUCUCUAUUAAAAAUACAAAAAUUAGCUGAGUGUGGUGGCAUGCGCCUGUAGUCCCAGCUACUCAGGAGGCUGAGGCAGGAGAAUCACUUGAACCUCAGAGGCGGAGGCUGUAGUGAGCCGAGAUUGCACCAGUGCACUCCUGGGCAACAGAAUGAGACUCUGUCUCAAAAACAAAACAAAAAAACCAAGAAAGAAAAACCACAACAUGGAGGAAUUUUAAAUAUAUCAAGCUAAGUAAGAGCCAGGCCCAAAAGGCUACAUACUGUAGGAUUCCCUGUAUGUGACCCUCUGGAAAAAGCAAAACUCUGGGGUCUGAGGACAGUGGUUGCCAGGGACAUGGGAGUGUGGGAGGGGUUUACUACAAGAGAAUAUUUUUGUGUAAAAA